CAGUAGCCGCGGUAAUACGAAGGGGGCUAGCGUUGUUCGGAAUUACUGGGCGUAAAGCGCACGUAGGCGGAUAUUUAAGUCAGGGGUGAAAUCCCAGAGCUCAACUCUGGAACUGCCUUUGAUACUGGGUAUCUUGAGUAUGGAAGAGGUGAGUGGAAUUCCGAGUGUGGAGGUGAAAUUCGUAGAUAUUCGGAGGAACACCAGUGGCGAAGGCGGCUCACUGGUCCAUUACUGACGCUGAGGUGCGAAAGCGUGGGGAGCAAACAGGAUUAGAUACCCCUGUAGUCCCUGUCUCUUAUAC
rnacentral:rRNA from 1 species